UAAUAAAAGUGUUUUAUGGCACUUUUCAAACAAAUCCAUAUCCACCUUGUGUGCAAUGUUUUUUUUUUUAAAUAAACACUUUAUUUUUUAAUUGCCAAUUUAUCUGAAGAUCAGUAUUAUUAUGAAUUAACUUAAUUCAAAAUAUAACUUUCAACAACGGAUCUCUUGGCUCUCGCAUCGAUGAAGAACGCAGCGAAAUGCGAUACGUAAUGUGAAUUGCAGAAUUCAGUGAAUCAUCGAAUCUUUGAACGCAUAUUGCGCUCUCUGGCAUUCCGGAGAGCAUGCUUGUUUGAGUAUCAGUAAACACCUCAAGUCGAGAGAUUUUUUUCUUGAGACUUGGAUUUGAGUGAUCCUAAUGACUGGUCCUUUUUUAUAAAGGAUAAGUAGGCAGGUCACUUGAAAUUCAGGUGCAGCUGAACUUUUCUUCUGAGCUAAAAGCAUUAUUUAUUUAGUCUUUAUUGACUAUUACUUUUUUUUGCUGCAGCUAAUAUAAAGGAAGAAUAGCUUCAUUAUAGCUGACUGAUGCAGGAAUUUAUCAGUCUGAUCAAAAGGACUGUUAGACUCGAUCUCAAAUCAAGUAAGACUACCCGCUGAACUUAAGCAUAUCAAUAAGCGGAGGAAUCGCGAUCUUGGUCAUUUAGAGGAAGUAAAAGUCGUAACAAGGUCUCCGUUGGUGAACCAGCGGAGGGAUCAUUACCGAGUUUACAACUCCCAAACCCCUGUGAACAUACCUAUACGUUGCCUCGGCGGAUCAGCCCGCGCCCCGUAAAACGGGACGGCCCGCCGCAGGAACCCACUAAACCCUGAUUUUUAGUGGAACUUCUGAGUAUUAAAAAACAAAUAAAUCA
rnacentral:misc_RNA from 1 species